rnacentral:rRNA from 1 species
AGUGAACGCUGGCGGUAGGCCUAACACAUGCAAGUCGAACGGCAGCACAGUAAGAGCUUGCUCUUACGGGUGGCGAGUGGCGGACGGGUGAGGAAUACAUCGGAAUCUACUUUUUCGUGGGGGAUAACGCAGGGAAACUUACGCUAAUACCGCAUACGACCUACGGGUGAAAGCAUGGGAUCUUCGGACCUUGCGCGAUUGUAUGAGCCGAUGUCGGAUUAGCCAGUUGGCGGGGUAAAGGCCCACCAAGGCGACGAUCCGUAGCUGGUCUGAGAGGAUGAUCAGCCACACUGGAACUGAGCCACGGUCCAGACUCCUACGGGAGGCAGCAGUGGGGAAUAUUGGACAAUGGGCGCAAGCCUGAUCCAGCCAUACCGCGUGGGUGAAGAAGGCCUUCGGGUUGUAAAGCCCUUUUGUUGGGAAAGAAAAGCAGCAGGUUAAUACCCCGCUGUUCUGACGGUACCCAAAGAAUAAGCACCGGCUAACUUCGUG